rnacentral:lncRNA from 1 species
UUAUGAACCACUGAGGGAUGUCACCAGUGGUUUGAAAAAUGCUACCUUAAUGGGAUGCAAAAGCUAAAAAGAGGUAGUUUGGUCUAGAAUACGAUAUGUACUGACUGACCUCAAAAGACUUUGUGAAGUGACAGGUGCAAGAGGUUAACAAUCUGAACAAAGUGAUUCCAUUUCAACAAAGUAUGUUAGAGUUGGCCAAAAGAGAACUUGUAUAAGAUUUGGAAGUCAGAAGUAAAACAGCAGCUAUUACUCUCAGAAGGUCACCAUAGUCACAUAUGGUGAUGGACACUGGAUCAAAGCUCCCUAUCCAUCUGGUCUUUCUAAUCUUUGGCCCUGAUGUCCAGUAGCAGCCUGGGGCUCCUCAGAAAAUGCUUGGCUGUGGAUCUACAGAGAGGAAGUUAUGCAGAGGGAAUAGCUUCCACUAGCUCCUGCUCCAGAGCCCACAUUGCUGGUUGGACACACACGGCUUCCCAGCUUUUCCUGCAAGCUCCCGGACUUGACUCCCUUCCAGACUUUCACUUCCCCACCUCCAGCAGUUUUGUAAGGUUUAAUUCCUACAGUGAAUGGCUUCUUUCCAUCAUCUUCACCAUGGUUCUUCUUCCCUGACUGAACCCUAAAUGGUACAGAUAAAUAUAAAUUAGUUGACAGUAGCUACAUCUUAAGAGGAGAAUAAAAG